UACGUAGGGUGCGAGCGUUGUUCGGAAUUACUGGGCGUAAAGUGUGCGCAGGCGGUCGAGCAUGUCGAGUGUGAAAGCCCCGGGCUUAACCUGGGAACUGCGCUCGAAACUACUUGGCUGGAGUGUGGCAGAGGAAGGUGGAAUUCCACGUGUAGCGGUGAAAUGCGUAGAGAUGUGGAGGAACACCGAUGGCGAAGGCAGCCUUCUGGGCCAACACUGACGCUGAGGCACGAAAGCGUGGGGAGCAAACAGG
rnacentral:rRNA from 1 species